CGGUGAGAGAGACUCUGAACCUCAACAAUAGUCAAAUCCAUACAUCAUCCGUUUACUAUGGCUUCUUCUAGCUGUCAACAAAACAAGCAUUCUCCUUCUACUUCUACUGUGAUUUCUUUCUUUAAGAUUGUUCUCAGACAAGCUCUUCAAGAUGAUGACUUUGUUCAUAAUAUUGCAGAAGUACUGAAAAAUAUGGUUCUGGCCUAUCAAACCCAUUGUAUCUUAAGCCUCCGGAUGGUACUGAAUGGAGAGUAGAGUGGAUUAAUCAUGAUGGUGGGAUUUUGUUUAAAAAGGGUUGGAAAGAGUUUGUUGCAUAUUACUCUCUUAAUCAUGGCCAUUUGUUAUGGUUUGAGUAUAAUAUUGGAACUUCUCACAUGGAAGUAUACAUAUUUGCCAAUGAUCAGAUCAAAGAGCAGCUGCCACGCAGUAGUCAGCAGCCGGUGAAAAGGCCAGAAGAACAAAAAACUAGAGAUGUGGAUAGUAGUCCCAACACCCAAAACAUGAGACUUAACGAGGGACUGCUGAAGAAAAGAUUGAAUGAACCAUUUCCAAGAGAAGUCCAGGGACAACCGAAGAAAAAACUGAGAGCACUAGUGUCAUCUGCUUCUAAAGAUAGAUAGUUGGAAAAUGACACACAAAUCAGGGAUGUGGAAAGAAGCCUCAAUUCGCACGGUAUUAAAUCUAAAGAAAAAAACCAUGAGAUGCCAGUGUCUGUCAAUCAAGAUUCUAAUGGUAAAAAGAAUAGAAGAAGAAAAGAUUCUGAAUCUCCUGUUAGGCCCUGUCCUAUAAGACCUGAAUCUCUGAAAGAAGCUAAGAAGUUUAAGUGAGAAAAGCCCUCUCUCAUCAUCAAGCUCAAACGAGAGCACCAUGUAGUCACUUUUCAAACCAGUGACUCAUGGGAUUCAGCUCUUCAAAGAAGUUAAGGAGCUCAACUCACAGAAUCCCUCUUUCAUGGUCAAGAUAAGAGAUAGUGAUCCAAGGAAAUCAAGGCCUGUAAGUUUAUUUCGAUACAUUUUAUUGAUGACAAAACAUAAUAUGCCAUGCAAACUUCUGAGUGCUAGUUUAUACUUAGUUUCACAAAUUGUAAGUUUAUAACUAUUUUUUACCAUGGUGAUUCAAAAAUGGAAUGUGAUGCAGAACUUAUCAGCUACCUUCUACAGAAAGUAUUUUAAAAAGAAUCAGCAGGAUGUAAAGUUACAGUUCAGAAAGGAGUCAUGGCCUACUACGAUAAUCUACAAAACAGGUCACAGAGGAAGGAGAAUGCUUGUUUCUUUGAAAACUAGAGGAAGCCAUGGAUGUUCUUCUUGUUCACAGACGCAGUUACAGUCUCUCUGGUAAGAAGACAAGUUUAUUGAAAAAGAGAAAGAAGAUGACAGCAACAGAAGAGUAUUUAGCUUCAAAGAAACAAGCAUUCUCCUUCCUAUGUGACCUGUUUUUUCAAGAUUGUUCUCAGACAAAGCCUUAAAGAUGGAAACCUUGCAAGCAUUUUCUUCACUUUAUAUCCUCUUUACUUAUAAUAUUAUUUAAUGCGUACUUUCUCUUUCUGAUUUUUCCCUUGUAAGGGUUUCUUUCAUUUAUGCUUAUUACUAAGACUAGUUUCAUACUUUCAUUUGAAUUGCAGGAGGUACCAAAAACGUUCAUUAAAUGAUGAAGAAGCUAGUCAAUCUGAAUGAAGAAUGCAGUGUUGAAAGCAGCGUACGCAUAUAUUCCACAUAAAAUAUUUUACAUAUGGCGUAUUGCAUUUCAUGUAACUGUGCAAUAAAUAUCUUAUUUUUCUUAGGCUGUGUUUAAAUUUCGUUCAAAUGAAUAAAAAUUACUGUGUUGUUUGAAGGU